AAGAGCGACGGCGUGCAGAAAACUUUGCGCUAAGCAUCUUUUCUCUCCGUGAUGAUCAAGUGGGUGGAUAUUGCCGUCGUCCGGGAACCCAUCAUAUUUUUACGAGACUAUCCAGUCAUUCUUCGGCAGUCAAUUGAAACGGAACAUUGAGGUUCCCGGACAAUUUUCUCGCAUUUUCUUGCUUGCAUUCGCUUUUCUCGCGGAAUAUUGUCCGACUGAGGAAAAAUGAGUGAAACCAGGAAUUUGAUGACCACUUUUCUUAUUCUAACCAUCCUCCUGCUCCUUUUGUGGAUCUUUUACUCCAGUGUUGUGUGAAACACCGUCAAGCUUUUUUUCGGUAAUUCAAAUUCUUAUUCCAUUUUCUCAAAAUACUGGAUAAGUGAUCACAAAACUAUUCCGCUAAAAUAAAAAGAAAAGAAGUGAAGAUCACCGGAAGACAUCUCCAUCAUAAUGGCAUGUGUUGAAAUGUUAAAUGCAUUUUCAGUGUUGCAUCCUUUGCACAAAAUUGGAGUGCGUAAAAUUGGCGUAAACCUAAAAUUAGUCGGAAGUUGCAAUACAACUCAAUUAUCUCAAUGACUGUGUGCUAAAAUGGGUUGAAGAAGUGGAAACACUGACGUCGAACAUAAUUGAAAUUUCCCAGAUUUUCCCAGAUAUUUCCACACUCAAAAAUGAUUAAAAUAAUAUGUUUUCAUGCCAGUUAGUGUUAAUAAAAUUUUGCUAGUACAUGUGGUCAAGAAGCAUUAGUUGCAUAACAUUCGAAACUGUUUUGAGAAAAUAUUGACGAUGGAUUGGUAACAUAAAUAAUCCACAGAACCCAGAAAAUGUGUAAAAGUUUCCGAUGAAAUUAUGCAAAAUGGGACAAAUUGAGCAGUUAAAUAAAAUGAGUUUGGAAAACAUCAAAUCAUAAAAAUUCCAUUGAUGAAAGUUAUCCCUGUUUGUUUUGAGGAAACUGAAAAUUUUUCCUUGUGAACUUAUAAGGAAUAACAGUCAUUAUUUAAAAUUGAAAAAUAUAUUUGUAUAUGCUUCACAAACUAAGAACUUAUCUUUAUUCAAUUGCUCCUAAAUCCUUUGUUAAAAGCGAUCUUAAUUUUUUUGAAAGAUCAUUAUCGUCUACAUUUGUCGUAUCUUCAUUGAGAUAGUUUUUUGGAAAUAAAUUCAAAUUAUAUACAUAUGUAGAAAAGAUUCACAAAUUAUUAAAACCCGAAAAUUAAAAUAGCAUAAAUGCGACAAAAGAUGAAUGAUUAUGAACUUUCGUAUUACGUUGUGUGCAUUUGAUGGAUCCAGUUAAUGAACUUCUCUUCCUGGAAAUAUUUAAUUUACUAGCCUUAUCAAAGGUUCAGAAUUCAAAAAGAGAUAAUGUUACUUUAUGAGUUUUGUAAAUUAAUUAGCACUAUUGGUUCUUAUCCUUAAGGAAAAAUUGUUUUGGAUUAUAAAAAACUUAUAAGUAUAUUCAAUUGAGCAUAUUCAGAAUCAUUUUUAGCUUUAGUAUUAUAUUUUUUUUAAUUAAAUCUCGUUAAGAACCAAAACUUCUUUUACAAAUCUUUUAUAAUUCAUUUUACUAUCCGUCAUUCUUUUGGGGAAUUAAUAAAUAGUCAUUUAUUUAUAAUAAUACUGAGUAAA